rnacentral:rRNA from 1 species
GACGAACGCUGGCGGCAUGCCUAACACAUGCAAGUCGAACGUAGCCUUCGGGCUUAGUGGCGCACGGGUGCGUAACGCGUGGGAAUCUGCCCUUGGGUUCGGAAUAACAGUUAGAAAUGACUGCUAAUACCGGAUGAUGUCUUCGGACCAAAGAUUUAUCGCCCAAGGAUGAGCCCGCGUAGGAUUAGGUAGUUGGUGGGGUAAUGGCCCACCAAGCCGACGAUCCUUAGCUGGUCUGAGAGGAUGAUCAGCCACACUGGGACUGAGACACGGCCCAGACUCCUACGGGAGGCAGCAGUGGGGAAUAUUGGACAAUGGGCGAAAGCCUGAUCCAGCAAUGCCGCGUGAGUGAUGAAGGCCUUAGGGUUGUAAAGCUCUUUUACCAGGGAUGAUAAUGACAGUACCUGGAGAAUAAGCUCCGGCUAACUCCGUGCCAGCCGCCGCAGUAA